rnacentral:rRNA from 1 species
GACGAACGCUGGCGGCGUGCCUAAUACAUGCAAGUAGGCCGCAGUUGCGAACGGGUGAGUAACGCGUAGGUAACUACCUAUUAGAGGGGGAUAACUCUUGGAAACGAUAGCUAAUACCGCAUACUAGUAGAUGGACCUGCGUUGUAUUAGCUAGUAGGUAGGGUAAUGGCCUACCUAGGCAACGAUACAUAGCCGAGUUGAGAGGGUGAUCGGCGACAAUGGGACUGAGAGACGGCCCAGACUCCUACGGGAGGCAACAGUAGGGGAUCUGCGGCAAUGGGGGGAACCCUGACCAGGCAACGCCGGGGGAGUGAAGAAGGUUAUCGGAUCGUAAAGCGCUGUUGUUAAGGAAGCGGUACUUGACCAGAAAGGGACGGCUAACUACGUGCCAGCCGCCGCGGUAAUAC